rnacentral:rRNA from 1 species
UACGUAGGGUGCGAGCGUUAAUCGGAAUUACUGGGCGUAAAGCGUGCGCAGGCGGUUUUGUAAGCCAGAUGUGAAAUCCCCCGGGCUUAACCUGGGAAUGGCAUUUGGGACUGCAAAGCUUGAGUGUGGCAGAGGGGACUGGAAUUCCUGGUGUAGCAGUGAAAUGCGUAGAUAUCAGGAGGAACACCUAUGGCGAAAGCAGCUCUCUGGGACGGUACUGACGCUGAGACGCGAAAGCGUGGGGAGCGAAC